AUUGAACGCUGGCGGCAGGCUUAACACAUGCAAGUCGAGCGGAGAGAGGUAGCUUGCUACUGAUCUUAGCGGCGGACGGGUGAGUAAUGCUUAGGAAUCUGCCUAUUAGUGGGGGACAACAUUUCGAAAGGAAUGCUAAUACCGCAUACGUCCUACGGGAGAAAGCAGGGGAUCUUCGGACCUUGCGCUAAUAGAUGAGCCUAAGUCGGAUUAGCUAGUUGGUGGGGUAAAGGCCUACCAAGGCGACGACCGGUAGCGGGUCUGAGAGGAGGAUCCGCCACACUGGGACUGGGACACGGCCCAGAAUCCUACGGGAGGCAGCAGUGGGGAAUAUUGGACAAUGGGCGCAAGCCUGAUCCAGCCAUGCCGCGUGUGUGAAGAAGGCCUUAUGGUUGUAAAGCACUUUAAGCGAGGAGGAGGCUACUUUAGUUAAUACCUAGAGAUAGUGGACGUUACUCGCAGAAUAAGCACCGGCUAACUCUGUGCCAGCAGCCGCCGUAAUAC
rnacentral:rRNA from 1 species